CUCAAUAAGCUGGGGCUUUUAUGGGUUGGAAGGCAAUUCUGUCGGGUUUAGGAGUUUUCUAAAUCAGUGUUGGAUGGUGUCAUCAUUGUGGAGAAUUGCUGUGCAACAACUAGCAGAUGCAGCAAAAGAAUCGUUGUGCUGGGUAUGGCACAGACGAUAGGAGCUGAUCUGAAUGUCUGGAACCAACGAGAAGUAGUUUGGCCACUGCUGUCGACCCAACAACUGGAGGAUGUCAGGGUUUAGGGUCGAAACAUGCGGGGAAGGUGGGCGACCAUCUGAAGACUAAGUUACCAGGCAGAGAUUGUGGCGGACUAAAUCAGGCAUGGACAGGAUGCCCGGACAUCAUAGCAGAUCAAUCUUUAUCUUCAAGGCUUCAUGUGUUUGGAAUCUGUGUGUCGCUGUAAAAGGAUGUCUUAUGUACCAACAUGACCUACAUAUUACCUUGGCCUUUGAACUCAAAGAUUGCUUGUAGAUUUGAUAGAAAGCAUGUCCAAGAAAGAACUGGUUUUCUUUCUUUCUGGCAGUGCUUUAUAAAAUAUUUGGCAUACAGAGGUAUUUGCUACAUCAUAAAUCAACAAUGUGUUUCGACCUCCAAAUAAUGCAAAUUGAUAAUGAAUUUGAACAAGUACGUCUGUCAGAAAAAGAAUGUUUUCAGUCUAGAAUUAUGAUAUUUUGCUUGUGACUGUUUCAUCAUUGGAUGAUGUGUGAUUAUACACAUAUGUCCCUGAGACCUUUGAUUCCUUGAGUUUAAGUGUUUCUUCUUUUUUUUUACCAGAAUAAUUGUACAUGUAAAAGUUUUUUUUGUCUGUUAUCCAUAUGAUCAUUAUGAUGUUUGGUAUGUAAGUGAUACAAUACAAAAUGUGUAAAGUGGCAUCAUGAUCUCUGUAUGACUACAUUUAUUGAAUUAGAAGGGUGUGAAGUAUUUUUAGUGUACUAAAUCAAGCUUUUUAUUUAUGUCAGCGACUUUAAUCUUUAUGUUACACAUCUGUUGCACACCCUUUGUUUUAAAGCUAGCUACACAACAUAUAUUGAUACAUGCUUUAUUCACGGUUCAUUUGUUUUGGUAAAAAUGCCAAAAGUUACGCCAUAAUAAUAUUUUCUGCUUGUGUGUGUUUCUUGUUUGAAAUUUUGAAAACAAACACAAGAAAAACAAAUUAUAUCCAAUUGCCAUGCAUUGUAUAUUUACACCAGUGAAUAAACUAAUGUGAUGGUAAUUGUU